rnacentral:misc_RNA from 1 species
AAGAUGUGUAUAAGAGCAAGGUGAGUCAUCGAAUCUUUGAACGCACCUUGCGCUCCUUGGUAUUCCGAGGGGCAUGCCUGUUCGAGCGUCAUUACAAUCCUCAAGCACUGCUUGGUAUUGGGCUCCGCUGCUUAUACAGCGGGCCUUAAAAUUAGUGGCGGUGUCAUUAGGCCCUGAGCGUAGUAAAUAUCCUCGCUAUAGGGACUUGGUGAUUACUGGCCAGCAACCCCCAACUUUCUAAGUUUGACCUCGGAUCAGGUAGGGAUACCCGCUGAACUUAAGCAUAUCAAUAAGCGGAGG